GUGGUACUAGCUCAGUUGGUUAGAGCGCCGCUCUGUGAAAGCGGAGGCCGCCGGUUCGAGUCCGGUGUACCACCCCA
rnacentral:tRNA from 1 species